CAACUGCCCGACAACCUAAAUUCUAUAAAUUGAGCAGAUGUAGGAUCCCUCGAUGCCUUCGUUGAUACAAGACGUGAGCCGCCCUAGGGUUCCGAUCUCCCUCCGAUUGCCCUCCGGUUGAUUUUUCCUGUUUUAAUUUCGUCGCGGUAGGUUCCCGUGUAUUUUAUUUUGCCCGUGGCGUUAUGGAUUUCGACUUCUCCUCCUUGUCUGCUGGCUAAAUAUGUUAGUCGAUUUAGUGAGGCUUUCCGAUCUACGAUCCUGUCAUUGUUGUUACACCGAUGAAGCCUACUAUCUAUGUCUUUUACUUUUUUUUUCUAAGCCAUAAUUAUUGUUUUUCCUCUAUAGGUGAGGCUUUAUUCGAAGGUCGAUUUCGCUACAAUGCUUGAUCUUGUCUUUUUUGAUUCAUCGGUUUGCUACCUUGUUCUCAUAAAAAAAGAGUUUUUUAUGCUGCAUUCAGCGAAAGAAGAAUCAGUUGACGCGAUGAUGAGUUUAGGAACUGGUGUUGGCAGUGGCGAUAGCAUGCUUGUUAUCUCCGUGAGCCUUUCUCACCAUUAAUACGACUUCUCCUUCCACUGAGCUCACAAGUUCUUUCCUCUAUGUCUUGAUGAAUGAAAUAUAUAUAUAUAUAUAUAUAUAUAUAUAUAUAUAUAUAUAUAAUAUUUUUCCAGAUAAUUCUAGUUCGAUUAUUGAUCAUGCAUUAUCUCGAUGUGAAAAUCUUUUUUAGAAUUACGUUGAUGAGAUUUGGCAGUGAUUCGAGGAGUAUUUUUUUAAUAGUGUUGAUCCAUCUGGUUUACGAUAAUGAAAUAUUACCGAUCUGCUCAAUUAUUCGUGAAAUGAUUCUUUAGUAAGAGAUUAUGCGCCAUUUCUGUUAGCAUUUAAUUGCUGGAAGCUGACAUAAAUCCAACUAUUUGUGCUAAUAAUGUUAGGUAAAGAGCAAGUUGUUCAUAGAAAUUUUGUUGGAUUGAGGCACAACAUCUGAGGCUCCUUGCAAAAUCCAUUGUUCGGUUGCUUAAUUUUUCUGUGCAAUAAUAAAUUAUGGGAUGAGCAUUGCAGCACUAAUAGGUUGAUGUUUGUGCUGUCCUUUUUCACCCAACACUGCUACAUACCAUUACCGUCACCUACAUUGAUAAGCAAACUCACUCUGUCCCAAAACCUCAACUUGAGCAAUGUUUUGUGGCAAUUUCUUCGUUUGCAAGAGGAAUCCAAAGUUGGUGUUUCUGGCCCAACUCUUCUGUAGGUGAACUUGUGAUCUUGCAGAGGUGGUUUGGAUCACAUCUUAUUAUCUCUGAGUCGUGAUCUAUCAAUAUAUUGAUUAUAUGAUUAUUGAUCUUCAAUAUUCAAUUCAGUCAGGUUGUUCUACAGUGACACUAGUACAAUUGUUUGAGCUGGAGUAGCCCUGCUUAGUUUGUAGAUAGUCUCUUAUUGUUCAUGAUUUAUUGAAUUGUAAUUUGCUUCUUAUGUAAGUGCUUUUUCUUUUGUAAAUAUUUGUAAUGAAUAACAGAUAUUUCUGUUUUUAUAUGUAAUUUUUUAUAAUAUAUAAUUACUUUUUAUAGA